AGCUGCACCCAGGAGAUCUUGGAGAUGUUCUGUGGCUUCCACUCUUCUAACUCCCUAGACAGUGAUUGGGUGCACCAGGUAAAGAAGGCGCAGUGCUGUUCUGAGUGGGAGGUUUAUGGAUGACUCCAUGGCAUACUGGUCUUCGUAACAGCUCUGAGUUGAGAGAAAUGCGGGUGUUGCUCAGCUACUGGAAUGUGUUGAAGUUGCCAAUGCUCUGCCCUGCGUCCCAACCAACCAAUGGAAUCAUCCCCCCUGACCCCGGGUGAGGCCUGGACCAUGCGGAUGCUCCAGGAAGGCAGAAUGGAUACUUUUGUACAGUCCCUGCUGCGAUCCUUCCAGGAGAGGAGCCUCUCAGAAAACGCAGUCGUUUUCCGUCUCUACCAGGUGUUCAGCACAGCCCCAAGGGGCCUGGGCCAGCAGCUCCACAGGGCUGUGGAAGAGGAUGAACCUCAUGGGGCUACCGUGGGCAAUCCUGGCAGGAAACAUGGCCUAGACUUCUCUGCUGCCUGGCUCUGUCGAAAGGGCUGCUGGGCAUCUUCCUGUGGAGCAGCUGUCUCUUUCCCUGUCAGCGUGGACGCGGCCCCACAGCCUCCCCGAGCCUCCCCGCGGGUCCUGAGGAGGCCGGGCCCUGUCAGCGUGGACGCGGCUCACGUCCUCCGGAAGCCUCCCCGCGGGUCCUGAGGAGCCGGGCCCUGUCAGCGUGGACGCCACCCCACGGCCUCCCCGAGCCUCCCCGCGGGUCCUGAGGAGGCCGGGCCCUGUCAGCGUGGACGCGGCUCACGUCCUCCGGAAGCCUCCCCGCGGGUCCUGAGGAGCCGGGCCCUGUCAGCGUGGACACCACUCCACGGCCUCCCCAGCCUCCCCAGCGCACCCAGGCUCCCGUCUGCAAGCGGAGAGGCUACUGCGCACGCGCCCCCGGGCGGUGCCUGGGCUCGGUCGCCCCCUGCGGGACGCGCAGGCGCUGCAGGCCGUGCGGGAGGCGGCGUCCCCCAGCCCAGGGCCGCCCCCGCCUCCUUCCAGGCUCCGGCCUGUGAGCCUGUGAGCCUGUGAGCCUGUGAGCCUGUGAGCCUGUGAGCCUGUGAGCCUGUGAGCCUGUGAGCCUGUGAGCGGCGGAAACGUCUCCCAGACACGGAGCCCAACCCCGGCUUCCCCAGGAUACUGAUGGACGGUGACCUGGAGCCCACGGGACGCGACGUGACAUGUGGACCAAACUCUCACCACUUCCAGCAAAACUCACUCAACGUUGUACGUAAAUUUAAAACACACAGCUAUCAAAAUAUCAAAAAGAGAACAUAAAAGAAAAUCUACAUGACCUUGAGUUUGGUGGUGCGUUUUAACACACAACACGAAACACUGACCCAAAAAUAUAUAUAUAUACAUAAUGUGAACUUUGAUCCAAAAUGUGAACCUAAUGUGAACACUGAUCCAAAAUGUGAACAUAAUGUGAACACUGAUCCAAAUAUAUAUAUAUAUACAUAAUGUGAACUUUACAUAUAACUUUAUAUAUAUACAUAAUGUGAGUUUGGUGGUGCGUUUUAACACACAACACGAAACACUGACCCAAAAAUAUAUAUAUAUACAUAAUGUGAACUUUAUAAAGGUAAAACUUCUACUCUGUGAAAGACUUUGCCCAGAAAACUAAAAGACAACUCACAAACUGGGAAAAUAUUUGCAAAACACACAUCUGAUAUUCAAACUACUUGAUUUUUAUCCAAUCUCUACAAAAAACUCUCAGAAGUCCACAAUAAGAACAUAGCUGUAUAACAACGGGUGAAUAUCUGUGCAGACACCUAGACAAAGCGAUGUAGCAAUAAAAAACAAGCCUGCAAAAAUAUGGUCUACA
rnacentral:lncRNA from 1 species